AGCGCAGGUGGGAAUGUAAGUCAGUCUUAAAAGUGCGGGGCUCAACCCCGUGAGGGGAUUGAAACCACAUUUCUUGAGUGCAGGAGAGGAAAGUGGAAUUCCUAGUGUAGCGGUGAAAUGCGUAGAGAUUAGGAGGAACACCAGUGGCGAAGGCGACUUUCUGGACUGUAACUGACACUGAGGCUCGAAAGCCAGGGGAGCAACG
rnacentral:rRNA from 1 species